AAUUAUUUCAUUUUUUCAUUUCGUUUGUCCUACAAUUUUUUUAUUGUAAAUUAUAUGCUACUGUUAAAUGACAGUUAAUCGUAAAAGUGAUUUUUUUGAAGACCACACUGAAUAGUUCAUCUUAGGAGUCCUAUCAAAGGAAAAUGUCUUCAUCAAAACAAUAAUCAUCUUUGUGUGUUUUUUGUGCCUUAUUUUUUACAGCUUUCAUCUUCAACACUUGUUCAUGAUGUGAAAAUUAGUCACUGGUUGUUUCUUGCAUACAACAGUUAUGCAAGAACAAUGAAUAUCUUCUGAGCUUAUCUUCUGUUUUCAGCUGCAACAUCAAGUCAACUCAUUUCCCGUUCAUGAAAAUGGUAGCAUCUUUGGAUAAUAUAAUUUCCUUCGGAUUUAUCAGGAACACACGUUAACUACUAUCAGUAUUGCGUAUUAUAAAGGAUGAUGGCGAUGAAAAAUCUCUCCUAUUUAGGAUCAUUCUCUUCUUGCAAUUACUCCUCUUCUUGGAUCAAAAUUUUGUCUCAUUCCCAGUUUUUCAUCUUCAUCAUCAUAAUCAUCUUCGUCUUAUCCAAAUGAGACACUAAAUCACGCAAAAUUUCAUUUGAAAGGUUGAUACUUUUGCUGUAAGCUAAAUAUAUUUUACCUUGUGCCUAGUUUUUCAUCUCAUUUUUAUGGUAAAUCUGUUUCUUUUGUACACUGAAAUAUUUCUUUUUUUUCCUUCAGAUUUUUUUUGCCUUCGUAAGCCAAAUAAGAAACGAUCUGUUUGAGGAUUUUCUCUUCUUCUCUCUCCUUCAUCUUCCAACUCAUCAGUAUCAUUAUCAUCAUCAUCAUCUAUUUCUCAAAAGUAAUCUGCAAGGUGAAAACAUGGGAAGUCUGUCAUCUAUCCAAGUCAAAUCCAUUCACAGCUUUCACAGGUUCAGCUUGCUCAAAUUCAGGAAAUAAAAUUUCUCCUUAUCAUAAUCAUUAGUUUAUCUUUGCCUGUAUCAUCAUCAUCAUCAAUAACAUCUACAACUUUUCUCCUUUUCACCCUUUUCCAUGAUAAUCAUUAACAUCUCUGAAUAUGUAAAAAUCUGAUAAUUCUCGUAGGUUUCAGCUUGUAAUCAACCUCAGGUUAAAAUAUUUCUGUCUCUAGAAAUUACUUCGUUAGUUUGGUCAUUCUUUCCAUUCCAUAAUAAUCAUGUUUCUUUUCAAUUUAUCAUAUUUUGAGAUAUUGAGGAUCAUUGACUCAGUAGUUAACCUGUAACCCAAUUAACGAUUUUCAAUGCAAAAUGAUGAUCACCAUUGAAAUGUGUAAUUCAUUUCAAAUGAUUACCCAUUUCAACCUCUUCUUGGAACUAUUAACAAUUUAAUUUGAACUA